rnacentral:rRNA from 1 species
AGCAGCCGCGGUAAUACGGAGGGAGCUAGCGUUGUUCGGAAUUACUGGGCGUAAAGCGCGCGUAGGUGGCUAUUCAAGUCGGGGGUGAAAGCCCGGGGCUCAACCCCGGAACUGCCCUUGAAACUGCAGCGCUAGAAUCUUGGAGAGGCGAGUGGAAUUCCGAGUGUAGAGGUGAAAUUCGUAGAUAUUCGGAAGAACACCAGUGGCGAAGGCGACUCGCUGGACAAGUAUUGACGCUGAGGUGCGAAAGCGUGGGGAGCAA